GGCUCAGGAUAAACGCUGGCGGAGUGCCUUAAGCAUGCAAGUGGAAUGGUUGUAGCAAUACAGCCAUCGCAGACGGGUGAGUACAGCAUAGGAAUCUACCCUUUGAUGGGGAAUAACUCGGCGAAAGCCGGGCUAAUACCGCAUAAGAUCGCAAGAUGAAAGGUCGUAACUGACCGUCGAAGGAGGAGCCUAUGUCCUAUCAGCUAGUUGGUGGGGUAAUUGCCUACCAAGGCUAUGACGGGUAGCUGGACUGAGAGGUUGGUCAGCCACAAUAGCACUGAGACACGGGCUAUACAUCUACGGAUGGCAGCAACUGGGAAUAUUGCGCAAUGGGCGAAAGCCUGACGCAGCGACUCCGCGUGAAGGAUGAAGGUCUUAGGAUCGUAAACUUCUCUUGACAGGGAAGCCAUGUACCAUACGGUAUGUGGGACGGUACCUGUAGAAUAAGCACCUGCUAACCACGUGCCAGCAGCCGCGGUAAUACGUGGGGUGCAAGCGUUAUCCGGAUUUAUUGGGCGUAAAGAGUUCGUAGGCGUUUUUCUAAGUUUCGUCUGAAAGACCGAGGCUUAACCUCGGGACCGGAUGAAAUACUAGAAGAAUUUGAGUUGGUUAGGGGGUACUGGAACUGUCGGUGUAGCAGUGAAAUGCGUUGAUAUCGACAGGAACACCAAGGGCGAAGGCAAGUACCUGGGACCACACUGACGCUGAGGAACGAAAGCUAGGGGAGCGAAAGGGAUUAGAGACCCCUGUAGUCCUAGCCGUAAACAUUGUGCGUUUGAUCCUUGCAUUUUUUGUGGGGGUUGGAGUUAACGCGUGAAACGCACCGCCUGGGGAGUACGACC
rnacentral:rRNA from 1 species